rnacentral:rRNA from 1 species
UACGUAGGAUGCAAGCGUUGUCCGGAAUUAUUGGGCGUAAAGAGCGCGCAGGCGGUAACUCAAGUCAGAUGUGAAAUAUCCGGGCUUAACCCGGAGGGGUCAUUUGAAACUGAGUAACUAGAGUACAGCAGAGGAUAGCGGAAUUCCCGGUGUAGUGGUGAAAUGCGUAGAUAUCUGGAGGAACACCGGUGGCGAAGGCGGCAUCCUGGACCGAUACUGACGCUGAUGAGCGAAAGCCAGGGGAGCAAACGGG